rnacentral:tRNA from 1 species
GUAGAGGUGGCUCAGUGGUUAAAAGCAGUGGCUACUCUUGGAGAGGACUUGGGUUUGAUUCCCAACUCCUACU